rnacentral:rRNA from 1 species
GAUGAACGCUAGCGAUAGGCUUAACACAUGCAAGUCGAGGGGCAGCAUGGUCUUAGCUUGCUAAGACUGAUGGCGACCGGCGCACGGGUGCGUAACGCGUAUGCAACUUGCCUCACAGAGGGGGAUAACCCGGCGAAAGACGGACAAAUACCGCGUACACUUGGGAUAGGGCAUCCUGACCCAAGGAAAUGAAAUUCGCUGUGAGAUAGGCAUGCGUCACAUUAGCUAGUUGGUGAGGUAACGGCUCACCAAGGCGACGAUGGGUAGGGGAAAUGAGAGGGAGCACCACCACACCGGUACUGCGCCCCGGACCAGACUGCUACGGGAGGCAGCAGUGAGGAAUACUGGUCAAUGGGCGAGAGCCUGAACCAGCCAAGUCGCGUGAAGGAUGACUGUCUUAUGGAUUGUAAACUUCUUUUAUACGGGAAUAACAAGAGUAACGUGUGGCUCCCUGAAUGUACCGUAUGAAUAAGCAUCGGCUAACUCCGUG